UACGAAGGGGGCUAGCGUUGCUCGGAAUCACUGGGCGUAAAGCGCACGUAGGCGGCUUUUUAAGUCAGGGGUGAAAUCCUGGAGCUCAACUCCAGAACUGCCUUUGAUACUGAAAAGCUUGAGUCCGGAAGAGGAGUGUGGAAUUCCCGGUGUAGCGGUGAAAUGCGCAGAUAUCGGGAAGAACACCCGUGGCGAAGGCGGCACUCUGGGACGGUACUGACGCUGAGACGCGAAAGCGUGGGGAGCGAACAGG
rnacentral:rRNA from 1 species